AUAAGAUUGUCUGAUUGUCGACUAAGCAUUUUCCGCCACUAAAAAGCACCCGAUUCCCGCCGGUGAUCGUGUAUGUUCGGAGAAAAAUUCGGUCGUUUGACGUGAAUGACAAGAAUAACGACACGAAUGUUCCCGCUUUUUUUGCGUUUGUUGUGUUGGUUGUUUACUUUCGUAAAAAAGCUCUAACUAAUUUGAUCGAUUAUUGCGAUUAUACUGAACUUUUCUUUGUUUCUUUGUGAAAUAUCGACCAUAUUGUUGCUUAUAGUGUUUUAAAAUAAUACCUGAAAAGCAGUAUUAAGUCCAAUUCAGCGAUUUUAGCUGUAAAGAUGGACGGCCCUACUGAAAACCAUCAGAAUCAGGACCAAACUAUCAACAAAAAUAUGUGCCACUUAUGCAGUAAAAUGUUUUCUCCCAUUUCAGCUAAGAACAAACAUAUUAAGGUUAUUCAUAAGCAGCAACCCAGGUAACCCAAAGUCACGCAUUUCUUGUCCCUUAUGCAGAGACUAAGUAUUCCUGUAAAACUUGAAGCUCAUUUACAGUUAAGUCAUGAUAUCAAAAUAGUCCUCAACUUUCCAUUUUUCCAGCGAAGAAAGAUUUGAGGAAUAGUUAAGAGAGCAUAAAAUAUGCACACUUGUUCGCACAAGAAAAAUUGAAGACAAGAUUGAAAAAGUAUAUUGUUGCAAUCGAAGCGAUUUUAGAGGUAAAUUUGUAGCAAUUUCAAUUCAAGCAAAGUAUUUAUUACAUACUGUACAUAUUCACUGGACUAUUUAGUGAAAGAUUGCUAAACAUGUUCUUAAUGUGUAGCUGUUUCUAGGAUUUCAAAGCAAAUGUAGUGUGAGAACAAUAAAAUGUAGUGGUUCUAUUAAAAUGAAUGGUGUAUGUCCUUCUCGUUUAAAUGUCAAGAUUUAUGGUGCAAGUAACAUUAUAUAGUCCUUUAGGGUAUCCACACAACGGGCCUGGAUGAUCACCAGUAGCAUGCCUGUAAGCCUUAUUUUUGUAUUGUCUUUAUGGUGUGAGCAAAGGAAGGGAAGCGAUUCUGUUUUAGGUGAACUCCUUGGGGAAUGUUCUUCCAAUAAUAUUGAAGCUAGCCAUAGUGUAGAAAUUGAAAUGUUUGUUAAUGAGAAGCCAACUGAAAAUCAACAAGUAGUAGUACAACGACUGAACAAGCAAUCAACAAGAGAAAUUGAAAUUGAGAAUGUAUCAAACUUUUUAAGAUCUUUAAAUGAUGAAACUUAUGAUAAGUACACGAGACAACUGACAUCAAUGAUGGAACAGGUAAAUAAGACAAAUACAGGUAAACGAAAAAUGGACAAACAAGUUUAUUUGCCAUCAAAGAAGAAGAAGGAGCAGUAAAUAAAAAUAAUAAAUUGUAUAUUUUUUUCUAUUUAUCAGUAUUUUUUUUAUAUAAUAGGUAUAUUUUUAUAGUUUUAAGUAUAUAUGUAUAUGUGUAUUUUAAUUUUUUAUGUAAGUUUUAGGCAAAUAUUUGAAAAAAUAUUACCUAUCUCAUAAG